GCUUGCCAACCACAGCUCCUGGAUUGUUAUUUUCUAGUUUUGGUUUCUUUAAAGCAGAACAAAAACUUAAAGUCAUUGGAACUUAAAGGCAAAGGAAGCUGGGUAUGAAAACCUUCUGGGUUUUUACCAAAUGUCCCUGAUGUUUAGUUAUCAUGUCUGCAUCUUUUUCAACAGGAACAUUAUCUGAGUGAUUCCAAAGUCAUCCCAAAGUAGUCAAUAGGUAUUUCUAGAAAGAAUUUCUUUCUCCACUCGCUCUGAGGUGCAGCACAGGUGCUUCAGCGCUCAGACUGUGUGCUGCUGGAUUCAAACUCCAACUCAGUUACUUACUAGCUGAUGACCUUGGCUAAGUUAUUUAACCUCUCUGUGCCCGUUCCCCACAUGUAAAAUUGGGGUUUCAGCUAUUAUUGUUGCUUCAUUGGUUCCCGGGAUGUUAAAUUCAAUUAUGUAAUUACAAGUACAACUGCCAUGAACAGGUUUGGGAACCAACACUUGACUCUUGAUAAGCAUCUGACUUAACUGACGGAGCUGCACGCAAAGGGUGAGCUAGAGACUGGCCCACUGCUGUGAGCGUUCAGCAUGCCAAGGGCCUUAGUCAGUAAGUUUCACACAAGGAAACAGAAAACAUCAGGUAACCCGGGUCAGUGACGCCCAUGAUAGUUAAGAACGACUGUUCUAAAUCUGCCUCCAUCUGUCAUCCAACCCUGGCCACACCUGGGGAGAAUCACCUGGGGAUGUGUAAACAAUACGACAUCCUGGCAACCCCAGAGACUGAUAUAAGUGGUACCAGGUGGGGCCUGGGCAUUUCUCAAAGCUCCUAGAUCUUUACCAGCUGGGAUAAGCACCCGAGGGCUAGAAGGGAAGCCCUUGGAGGGCAGGGCCCGCCUCUCUGAUCUCACAACUGGACACACAGUGCCUGGCAUGGUUCCUGGCCACAGCGGGCCCUCACAUCCUAGCUUUUAAAGGAGUAUAUGGUGGCCACUAGGUUUCAAGCACCAGGGCACAGGCUUGAUCCCCUCUUCCCAGCUUCCCUAUUGUGCCAGUGGGCAGAAACCAACCACACAAUGUUGCUGAGGCCGUGCCCAAGGAGCAGACAAAGGCACCAAUGGGAAGCCUCAGGGGGGAGCAACACUUCCCCCAGAAACAGUUCCAGGAGGCACCAGGCGCCGGCCAGGGCUGCAGUUAAUCAUUCACCCCACAACACAGGAAGUGAGCCCUACGCCAGUCCCAGCCCCAGGGCUUCCUGAGGUCGGGGCAGGUCCGCAGUCCACACAUCACCCAGACAGAGGACAGCCCAGCCCAGCCACAGGUGAGGCGGCCUGAUGGCCUGGGGCAAAGGCCCUCGGUCCAGUCUCUUCCCCGUCCACCCCAAGUCUGACUUCUCUCAGGAGGGACUCAUGAACACGUGCCCUGAGCACCCCCAAAAUGACAUCACACAAGGGCAGAAAGGAGCUGAAGGGGGAACAUGAAAGGCAGAAAGGGAGCCGUGGUUGCCAGGCAACCAGCCCUAGCCCACCUUUGUUUGUUUGGUGACAGCAACUAAGGUCUGGUCAGGGCCGCUUGGCCACGCUCAUGCCUUUUCCUCUCAACAGUUGCUUCUUUGAGUCAGGGUGCAGCUCUGGUCACCUGGCGGCCUCUUCAGCUCAGCCCUCCACAAAGUGUGAGCCUGAAGGACCACCCUGAAUUGCCCUUGUAGGACCCAGAACAGCUACCAGCAGAAUCAGAUUCUCAUGGACCAACUGGUAUUCAAAGAGACAAUCUGGAAUGAUGCGUUCUGGCAGAACCCCUGGGACCAGGGGGGCCUGGCAGUGAUUAUCUUAUUCAUCACCGCUGUCCUGCUUCUCAUCUUAUUUGCCAUCGUGUUUGGUUUACUCACUUCCACAGAAAACACUCAGUGUGAAGCGGGUGAAGAGGAGUGACCUGACUUCCUGGGGACUGAGAUGGCAGCAGGGGAGGCGAGCUGACCUGCCCCCAUUCCAGUGGUGGGCCCCUUUGCAAUUCCCUCUGGCUCAGGGGCCAAGCCCUGGUGUCUUCCUUUCCCACCAGGAAAAAGUCUAGUAAAAUACUGUAUCUGGCUUAGGGUUGGUCAGACUAGUAAGAUGGGGAGGCUGGUCUGAGACCAAUUCUGGCUCCUUGACCCUAUUGUUUUUAGGGUUCCCCGACCAGAACCCUAAAAGCACAUGGAGGGGACGGCUCCACUGCCUCAGGUGGAAGGAGCUAUGGCUAACAAGGUUCUCUAACAGGCUCACAGGCCCAGCCAGCAAUUUCACAAAUCCUUGACAGAGAAAGACACAACCAAAUGAAAUAAAAAUUCCUUUUCAAAUCUGCUAACUUGUGAGAGCUCAUUUUUAAUCCAGAUA
rnacentral:lncRNA from 1 species